rnacentral:rRNA from 1 species
CGAUAACGAACGAGACCUCUACCAUCUAGUGGUGGUGGGUUUGCUUGCAAAGGUGAAUUCUGCAUACUAGGGGACAGACUGGGGUUACCAGUAGGAAGUUUGAGGCAAUAACAGGUCUGUGAUGCCCUUAGAUGUUCUGGCUGCACGCGCGCUACACUGAUGGAUGCAGCGAGUAGUUUGCCUUGCUCGGAAGGGCUGGGAAAUCUUGUGCAAGUCCAUCGUGCUGGGGAUAGACCAUUGCAAUUAUUGGUCUUCAACGAGGAAUUCCUAGUAAAUGCGUGUCAUUAGCGCGCGUUGAUUACGUCCCUGCCCUUUGUACACACCGCCCGUCGCUACUACCGAUUGAAUGGCU